rnacentral:rRNA from 1 species
GUCUGUAUGGUUUUAUAUAAAGUCUAGCCUGCCCACUGAAUUGUUGAAGGGCCGCGGUAAUUUGACCGUGCGAAGGUAGCAUAAUCACUAGUCUCUUAAUUAGAGGCUUGAAUGAACGGCUGGAUGAGGGAUAUAGUGUCUUUUAUUUUAUUUACGAAUUUAACUUUUAAGUGAAAAGGCUUAAAUANUUUAGUGGGACGAUAAGACCCUAUAAAACUUGAUUUAGCUUAGUAUUAGUUACUAAUUUUUUUUAAAGUUGUUAUUAUUGNGUUGAAUUUUGUUGGGGAGACAUUAAUAUAAAAAGUAACUGUUAUUUAAAUUUAAUAAUUAUAAUUAGUUUUUGAUCCUUUAUUAGAGAUUAUAAGAUUAAGUUACUUUAGGGAUAACAGCGUAAUUUCCUUUGAGAGUCCUUAUCGACANGGUUAGUUGCGACCUCGAUGUUGAAUUAAAAUUUCUGGAAGGGGUAGUCUUUUUCCUAGUGGGUCUGUUCGACCUUUAAAAUUUU